AACGAAGCUUGCAAAUUACGGCGCUGGUCUGCAUUGGAGCGGUGCUUGCAAGCUUAGGGUUUGUACUGGAGUUAGGUUUUCGUGACAGAGAGUGUAUAAUCUCUCUUCGUAUCCUUCGGGCUUGUCCCAUACCAUUGGCUGGAGCUUAAGUAUACACAGAGGAGGGGAGAGCAAACAGCAUUGCAGCUGGACGAGGAAGUACAUGUAAACACACGACAAUACAAAACUAGGAGAGACUCUUGUGGAAAUUGUUGACACUUGUUUGAAGGAACUAUGGGUGGAUGUGGGUCUGGAACAGGUGGCUGUGAUAGCAUGAUCUCCAGGCAUUCUUCGUCGUUAUCCCCAUCGAGGGUGAAGACGUGCUACUGUGGAGUUCCGGAUGCAUUGCAUAUGUCCCAGACGCCAAGGAAUCAUGUAACGCCCGACCGCUUCAAGAAUCAAUGGCUAUCCCCACAUACUAACAAGAGACUUUUCAGUGUACUUUUUCCUCACUCGUACACUUCCCGGGAAAACUUCUCAGGAGGUCACCCAUCACAGAAUUGCUCCAAGUCAAGCACGCUUAACUAUGGAGUUCUUCCGUUCCGAGCUACCAAAAAGAAGAUGCAUCUUGUUAGUAUAGGUAGUACCAAUUAAUUCUUAUAAGCUAUCCCAAACUGUGUAGUCUCAUACCUGCACAGUCUUUGGAAUCCCUCUAUUUCGGGUGUCGAUUCGAUUCAUUCAUGCAUGUAACCCCCGCUAGAAGCCUGUCAGGAGCCGCUCCUUGUCCGUGCCUCUUUGCACCGGCGAUCACUCCCCGCCCUCGUCAGCGCUCGGGAUGUUACAUGCCAACCAGCUUCCGCCUGGUUCGUCCUCGAACCACACCGUACUGGAAGAGAGGUCAUGCUCUGAUACCACUUGUAACACCCGGUCGCUUCAAGAAUCAAUGACUAUCCCUACAUACUAACACGAGACUUUUCAGUGUGCUUUUUUCUCACUCGCACACUUCCCGGGAAAACUUCUCAGGAGGUCACCCAUCCCAGAAUUGCUCCAAGUCAAGCACGCUUAACUAUGGAGUUCUUCCGUUCUGGGCUACUGAAAAGAAGAUGCAUCUUGUUAGUAUAGGUAGUACCAAUUAAUUCUUAUAAGUUAUCCCAAACUGUGCAGUCUUAUACCUGCACAGUCUUUGGAAUCCCUCUCUUUCGGGUGUCGAUUCGAUUCAUUUAUACAUGUAACCCCCAUUGGAAGCCUAUCAGGAGCCGCUCCUUGUCUGUGCCUCUUUGCACCGGCGAUCACUCCCCGUCCUCGUCAGCGCUCUGGAUGUUACAAAUCCAGGAAGACAAUUUUUUGGAUGUCGUAACUUCCAAACCAUGGAGGACUGCCAUUUCUUUGAAUGGUUUGAGGAAUCGGCUUGCCGUAAUUGUAUCAAGAACGAGAAGCUUGUCAAAUUAUUAUCCAUUUCGCAAAUGAUAAUUGUUAUAACAUUUGGGAUUAUCAUCACGAUUGUUAUAAUAUAUUAUUGACUUCUUAUGUAGUGGUAUGCCACUUAUUUUGCUAUAGGGCAGAUGUAAUCCUUAGGUUUCUGUACUUGUAAACUUGUUUAGGCUGUUGGACUGUAAGUCUUUGAUGUAAUAUUUCGUAUUAUCAAAGGUAUUAUUUCCA